AUUGAACGCUGGCGGCAGGCUUAACACAUGCAAGUCGAACGAGUGGCGUACGGGUGAGUAAUGCUUGGGAAUCUGGCUUAUGGAGGGGGAUAACGACGGGAAACUGUCGCUAAUACCGCGUACCAUAGGAUGAGCCCAAGGGGGAUUAGGUAGUUGUCGGGGUAAUGGCCUACCAAGCCGACGAUCUCUAGCUGGUCUGAGAGGAUGACCAGUCACACUGGAACGGAGACACGGUCCAGACGCUUACGGGAGGAAGCAGUGGGGAAUAUUGGACAAGGGGCGAAAGCUGAUCCAGCAAUGCCGCGUGUGUGAAGAAGGUCUUCGGAUUGUAAAGAACUUUAAGUAGGGAGGCGUUACCAACAGAAUAAGCACCGGCUAACUUAGUGCCAGCAGCCGCGGUAAUUC
rnacentral:rRNA from 1 species